UUUAGGAGCACGUUGGACAACUUGGAAUGGGAAGACAUCUAGGAGAAAUGAAAACUGUUUAUUUAUUCAUUUAUUUAUUUUGGUACUGGAGAUUUUUUAAAAAAGAAUAAAACCAAGCAAAAUAAAACAGAACAAAGCUAAUUAAAACAAACCAGUGUGAUAUAGGACUUCAAAACAAUAUGAAAUCAACAAUGGUUAUCAUAAUGCCUCUUGUCUUCAAAAUAACUGCAGAUACCUUCAGACAUAGUAAAAAUCAAACAAAACAGAACAGAAUAGAACCAGUAAAACCAAACCAUGAAUGCAAUAAAGGACUUCAAAACAAGCUGACCUGGACAGAACCACAGAAUUGCAUCCUGCUGUCUCCAGAAAAGUCGUUUAGGAGUGAGCUGCAGCUGCAUCACUUCCUGUCAGCGAGUAGCAGCUUUCCCAGGCUCCCACUCCUGGGGCUGAUUUUACGGUGCACGAUGUGAAUGCUUAAAAGUUUAAAACAUUUACCAAAGACACACUGCCAUGGAUCUCCAUCAGAAUGCUCUCUUUGCUUCAGACACUUAUCCUGUUGUCCUUGCUGGUCUCUACAGCGGCUCUGGAGUCCUUUCCUAAGUGUCUUCAG
rnacentral:lncRNA from 1 species